UUUUUACAUUUUUAUAAAAGAAAAGAAAAAGAAAACUUUUUUUUUCCCUUUUCUUCUUCCGCCCAGCGCCGCGACCCUCCCUUCCGUUCUCCAUCUCCGUUUGCGAAGCAGCCUUGCAGCAGCCGCCGCGUAACUUUUCGUCCAGAUUUGCGUCGCCGUGCCCAGUCCUAACCGCCGCUGCAACCGUCUCCGCGCCAUUGCUCUGUCUCCGUCGAAGCCAAGGCCGCCGCGUGAACCAGUAACCGCCACGCCCUCCGCUCACAACCGUCGUCCAGAUCUGCAUCGCCGAGCCGUCCAGGUCCUCGCCGUCGCUCGUGCUUCAUCCUUGCAGUUCGUAGUAACCCAGAUUCGUCGCUGCAACCGUCGGCCGGUUCGUGAAGCCCUGCCGCGCAACCUCUGUUUCCAGCCGCCGCCCAUUCCGUUCUCCUCUGUUUUUUGCACUGCCGCGCGACUCUCCGACCGCGUCUGUCUUCACCUCCGUGAAGUCGUCGACGCAUACAUCUUGUGAAGCCCGGUCGCCGCGUCAGAUCGUCGAUCGAUUUUGAGGCAGCCGCCGCCACGUCUCCUUUGGUUGACCGCUGACCGACCCACACUUAGGAUUUUUGCUGCGAGUUCGACAGUCGUGUGUUGAGGUGUUGGGAGUAACGUUGGACUCCCUUAAAUUCACAACCAAUUUGUGAAUUGUUGAGGGUUCAGUUCGCCAAUAUUUCGGAUUGUUUCGAGGACGUUAGUUGAUUAAGGGCUUCCCUAACUUUGAGGUAAGGGAUUUUCUACUAGACUCACUUAUGAUGGUGAAUUGUAUGUCUGUAUGAUUAAUGAUUGUGAAUUGUAUGUCUGUAUGAUUAUCUCUGCCUGAGUAAAGAUGUUGAGAUGAUAUAUAUAUAUAUACACAUAUGGAUGUAGAUUCGGUGUUGAA